rnacentral:rRNA from 1 species
UACGUAGGGAGCAAGCGUUGUCCGGAAUCAUUGGGCGUAAAGCGCGCGUAGGCGGCCCGAUAAGUCCGCUGUAAAAGUCAACGGCUCAACUGUUGAAAGCCGGUGGAUACUGUCGGGCUUGAGUACGGAAGAGGCGAGUGGAAUUCCUGGUGUAGCGGUGGAAUGCGCAGAUAGUCAGGAGGAACACCGAUGGCGAAGGCAGCCCCCUGGGUCAACACUGACGCCUCAUGCACGAAAGCGUGGGGAGCAAACAGG